rnacentral:tRNA from 1 species
GGUCCCGUAGCUCAACAAGGCUCGCAAGAGUGCGAUGGAGCACCCGUCAUGACGCCGGGAGGUAUGCGGGUUCGAACCCCGCCGGGACCACCA